GUUUGAUAGUUUCAGGUAUUUACUUCUAGCUAUUCCAAUACAUUAAAACCUAAAAAUGUCUCCUUUUAGACAUUGCCUAAUUUUCCUAAUUAAUAGAGUUCUAAGUAAGAGAAUGUUGGCUAAUUGUAUAUUCAUUAACAUUUAAACACCUAUUGUGUGGCAUGUGCAUUUUCCCAAGCACUAAGAUGCAAAGACUAAAGUAGUCCCAACUUUUGAAGAACAUAGUCUAAUGUUGGAUAAGACAUUUAGGCAACUGUACUAUAGUGUGAUAAGUGGUGCAAUGGGAUCUACAAAGUACUGUGGGAGCACAGAGGAGGAAGUGAUUAGUUCUGCUAAGCAAGAGUGAUAUGAUGAUUUCAUGGAGGAGAGGAUAUUUAAGGUGGGCAUAAAGGGAUGGUGGAAUGGAGGUAAAAUCACUGGGCAUUGAAAUUUUGAAGUUAUGUGGAUUUUGGCCCAUUUUGAAUAUUGAAGUUUCUUAUUAUGACAUUUGGUGGUUAUGUAGUUUUGUAGUUGUGUUCUGUUUCUCAGUUCCCUACCCCAACUUCCAAUUUUGUUUUUCUAAUUAAUGCCUCCCUUAUGGCUCGGUCAUUGUCACUCCCCUCUGCCCAAUAAAAAAAAAAAAA